rnacentral:tRNA from 1 species
AAUAUAAUGCCUGAUAAAAAGGAUGGCCUUGAUACGGACAAUUAUGUAAUUUAAUUACUUAUAUUA